rnacentral:lncRNA from 1 species
GGGGUAUUUUCCCAGCCCUUAUUCUGGGCCAUAAAUAUUGUUCCCCCUCCCUUCCCAGUGAUUCAAAGCCUGCAAAAUCCUGGUCACUCACAGAAAUUUUAAAAUCAGUUAGUUGCAAUACAAUCAAUCACCUUUAUUCCGGGUUAGAACAAGGCCGUGCACACUGCAGACAGAAGAGCACAAGAUAGGGGCAAUCUCACAGCAAUAUAAGGAGUGGGUGGGCAGGUUAGUCUUUUUAGAUUAUUUUGCCUUACAGAGAAACUACUAGACUCUGCUGAAAAGAACCCUGUCUCUCUUCUCCCAUUUCUUCCAUAAGAAAGGCUCCUUAUUCUCUCUCUCACUCUAAUGUAACAUAUCCCAAAUGGAAGGACAGUUCAUGCUCAUUCCCCCCACCCAAUUCUACAAGUAUCUCUCUCUUCUUAAGGGAGAAGCCAGACAGGGAAAGGGAGACUUGGGAAGGUCCUUUAAGGCAAAACUGUGGAGUCCUAGAGGUGUGUGUGUUAAGGCAGGUGUCUGCAGCAGUGGCCAGAGGGGCAGGGCACGCUAGGCUGGGCUAGGAGUUAAGAGUACUGUCUAACCAGUCUGGCUUCUUCCUUCUUCCAGCAGCCAGCCCUCCCCUCCCAUUAAAGUUUUACUCCCACAUCCUAAAAGCUCCUAACUUGAACUUUGUCUAAAUAGUCUCUGAGACUGCAUGUGAAUUUAAUGUUUUUUGAAAAAGCCUUCUUUUUUGUUUGGACUAUGUAGCAAUUUGAUUCUGCCACUCCCUUCACUGUGGCAUUCCCCUCCCACCCCCGCUCUGGC